rnacentral:rRNA from 1 species
GUGGGGAAUAUUGGACAAUGGGCGAAAGCCUGAUCCAGCCAUGCCGCGUGUGUGAAGAAGGUCUUCGGAUUGUAAAGCACUUUAAGUUGGGGGGAAGGGCAUUAACCUAAUACGUUAGUGUUUUGACGUUACCGACAGAAUAAGCACCGGCUAACUUCGUGCCAGCAGCCGCGGUAAUACGAAGGGUGCAAGCGUUAAUCGGAAUUACUGGGCGUAAAGCGCGCGUAGGUGGUUCGUUAAGGUGGAUGUGAAAGCCCCGGGCUCAACCUGGGAACUGCAUCCAAAACUGGCGAGCUAGAGUACGGUAGAGGGUGGUGGAAUUUCCUGUGUAGCGGUGAAAUGCGUAGAUAUAGGAAGGAACACCAGUGGCGAAGGCGACCACCUGGACUGAUACUGACACUGAGGUGCGAAAGCGUGGGGAGCAAACAGGAUUAGAAACCCCUGUAGUCC